UCCGUAGGUGAACCUGCGGAAGGAUCAUUAGUGAAUUUGGACCUCUGUGUCCUCAAUCUCAUCCUUCAUACCUCUGUGAACCGUUGGCCUCCGGGCCUACUUAACAAACAUCAGUGUAAUGAACGUCAAACAUAUAUAACAAUAAUAAAACUUUCAACAACGGAUCUCUUGGCUCUCGCAUCGAUGAAGAACGCAGCGAAAUGCGAUAAGUAAUGUGAAUUGCAGAAUUCAGUGAAUCAUCGAAUCUUUGAACGCACCUUGCACCUUUUGGUAUUCCGAAAGGUAUGCCUGUUUGAGUGUCAUGAAAUCUCAAUCCCCUCGGGUUUUAUUACCCGGCGGUGGACUUGGACUUGGGCGUCUGCCAUCCGUGGCUCGCCUCAAAUGUGUCAGUGGGAUCUAGCAUCCACGGCCCGACGUAAUAAGUUUCGUCUGGUCGGGUGCUUGGAGCCUGCUCAUAACAAACCAUAUUCUGACUCUGACCUCAAAUCAGGUAGGACUACCCGCUGAACUUAAGCAUAUCAAUAAGCGGAGGA
rnacentral:rRNA from 1 species